rnacentral:rRNA from 1 species
UACGAAGGGGACUAGCGUUGUUCGGAAUCACUGGGCGUAAAGCGCACGUAGGCGGAUGUGUCAGUCAGGGGUGAAAUCCCGGGGCUCAACCUCGGAACUGCCUUUGAUACAGCACGUCUCGAGUCCGGAAGAGGUGGGUGGAAUUCCUAGUGUAGAGGUGAAAAUUCGUAGAUAUUAGGAGAACACCGGUGGCGAAGGCGCCCACUGGUCCGGUACUGACGCUGAGGUGCGAAAGCGUGGGGAGCAAACAGG